AGACGUAGGAUGCGAGCGUUGUCCGGAAUCAUUGGGCGUAAAGAGUUCGUAGGCGGUGUAUCAAGUCUGGUGUUAAAGCCCGAGGCUCAACCUCGGUUCGGCACUGGAUACUGGUAUGCUAGAGUGCAGUAGAGGCAAGGGGAAUUCCCAGUGUAGCGGUGAAAUGCGUAGAUACUGGGAGGAACACCAGUGGCGUAAGCGCCUUGCUGGGCUGUUACUGACGCUGAGGAACGAAAGCCGGGGGAGCAAAUGGGAUUAGAUACCCCAGUAGUCCCGGCCGUAAACGAUGGAUACUAGGUGUUGCGGGUAUCGACCCCUGCAGUGCCGCAGCUAACGCAAUAAGUAUCCCGCCUGGGGAGUACGCACGCAAGUGUGAA
rnacentral:rRNA from 1 species